rnacentral:lncRNA from 1 species
AAUCCUAACCAUACUAUUCCAGUUCCUCCGGUGGCAGUUUGUGGCAAAGAUCAGGAAUAAACACACAAGGGAGCUGAAGAAGGAAUCGAAAUCAGUUUGGACAAGUCCAAAUUCUUCCGGAUUUUAAUGGAUCUUCAUGUGUUUUUGAACAGAUUUUCGAACAACCUGGAGGACACUGUGUUCACCCAAGUGGGCACCUUCCUUGCCGCGACACCACCACCACCCACACCGGCGUGACAAGGCAGGCUUCGCUUUCCGCGCCUUUGCAUGCGACAAGUUUGUCACUGUGAUUUAUGCCUGAGAGGAGAGGGUUACACCACCGAACCGACAAGCGGGUGUGGUGGGUGAAUAGUCAAAAAAGCGGGUACACACGGCCGUGCCAGUGGAGAACAAGGGGCGGCAGUCAAAAAGACAGCCGAGCAGAGGAAGCUGAGCCAGUCGGGCGCUGGCAGGCGUCAACAGGAUGCGGAGGACGAAGGAAGGGGUGGAUCGGCGUCGAAUGGCGAGUGGCGGGUGGCGGGUGGCGGAGGAGAAAACGGAUGAGCAGGCGAAGGAGCGAACGGCGGAGGGUUGCGAUUACAGUGUCAUUGGCAGCGUCGACGGCGUCACUUUGCGCACUGCCAAGUGCAGCCACCAGAACCGAAUCCAAUAUCCAAAUCACAGCCACACCACCCAGCCAACGAAACGGGGAAAGAAACGACAAGCAGGGCAGGGGCGAAUACACGCCCAACAGCUACAAUUGAAAAUUUUAUUUCAUUUUUAUGGCUUUUGGAAAUUAAAUUGUUGUCAUCGCAUACAAAAUUAACCAGAGCAGCGGGAUUUGCAUAGCCAGUCAAGAGGUGUGACCUCUAACCCCCACCAUCCAUCAUCCACCAUCUACCAUCUACCAUCUAGCAACUGGCACCCAACAGCCACACGACAUAGUCACCGAUGUUAUUGUUAUAGCCGCUGUAUCUCACCCGCUGGGCCUGCGGUCUUUAACAUUUAGCAAAACAUUUGAUUGCCAUCAGGAUAAUCCCGAGGGGAUGUCCCAGGACGCGAGGAUGUGGGCUGCCAGGAGCUGUUUGAUUGCCCGGGAGGAGUAUCACAUCUCCAUAAAGCUCACAAAGCCCGAGGCCUUAAAUAAAUGUUUAUUUUAAGCAAUAUAGUCAAGCAUUAAAAUGCAAAACUUAAAGACUGUCAACGAACUUUAACAAACGUGCACGAGCCAAAGUCAAGAGUAAAUAAGGCCUGGAAAAGAAAGCUGGGAGAAGCCACUUCGAUGGUCAGCAGCCAAAGUAAAAUCUUAGAUUUCCAACUUUAAGUUUCCCGACAGCCGGAGUCAAUUUGCAAUUAGAUGUUAUCCAAAGGCAAACGGACACCCAGGAAACGGGGAUUUGAACAAGGUCCCGCAUAAAAAACUAAACACACGCAGCAAUCAAUCGAUUAAAAAAGGGCAAAGGAGGAAAAGUUUUGAGCCGUCGGUGGGCGAUGGCACAGACCAGACUAGACGCGGAGGUGAGCGUGGACGAGGCGGACACCACCUAUGGUGUCCAGAUCGAGGUCCUGCCGGAAGGACACCCCAGGGACCCGCAGGCAGCUCAAGGAAGUCGCCUGGCUGGCUUUUGUCUAAUGCGCCGCUUAUCUUGAUAUUAUUUGGCCAUAAAAAAGGACACGGACACAUGGUCGAGGAAUGGGCACGGAUAACACUGGAAGAAACAUUUCACACAGUGAAUAAAAAAAGGUACAUUUAUUUUUGGUUAAACAUUUUUAUUCGUUGAAUUCACGCAUUUUGUUUGUCAACCUAUUUCAGAGAUCCGCGCAGCGCUCUUUUGGCUUACUGAUUAAAUGCCAAAUGUGCCAGAAUCAUAAUAUAACCGAGACAUCGAGAUGUUCUUAAAAAUCGUUGACAUUCUGCACCCAUUUUCCGGCUGUAACCCAAUCCUCCAGCCAAGUCAUUGUGCUCCUAAGGGCAAGGAAAAUUGCAACAUUUCACAUGUCACAACGAGGGCGAUUUCCCUACCACCCAAAAUAAAAUGGACCAUGUCGAAUCCUGCGGGUUCCGUUGAUUUCCUUGCCCGAAAAAAAAAAAAACCCAGCCACGCGCGUUUCAAAUCCCUUUAGUUACACUGUUUCAAAAUUAAAUAUUUACAUUUUGUAUGCGGAGGCGGAUGCGGCGGUCAUGAGGUCUGAAUCUCGAUUCACAUGUGGGUGUUUUGGCCGGAAUGGUGGUAUCUAGCUACUGGAUACACUGGACAUCUAAUCGGUCGGUGGUGGGCUGCCAGCUCCGUCAGCUGGCCGUGAGC